rnacentral:rRNA from 1 species
UGCUAAUACCGCGUAACAACAAAUCACACAUGUGAUCUGUUUGAAAGGUCCUUUUGGAUCGCUAGAGGAUGGUCUUGCGGCGUAUUAGCUUGUUGGUAGGGUAGAAGCCUACCAAGGCAAUGAUGCGUAGCCGAGUUGAGAGACUGGCCGGCCACAUUGGGACUGAGACACUGCCCAAACUCCUACGGGAGGCUGCAGUAGGGAAUUUUCCGCAAUGCACGAAAGUGUGACGGAGCGACGCCGCGUGUGUGAUGAAGGCUUUCGGGUCGUAAAGCACUGUUGUAAGGGAAGAAUAACUGAAUUCAGAGAAAGUUUUCAGCUUGACGGUACCUUACCAGAAAGGGAUGGCUAAAUACGUGCCAGCAGCCGCGGUAAUACGUAUGUCCCGAGCGUUAUCCGGAUUUAUUGGGCGUAAAGCGAGCGCAGACGGUUUAUUAAGUCUGAUGUGAAAUCCCGAGGCCCAACCUCGGAACUGCAUUGGAAACUGAUUUACUUGAGUGCGAUAGAGGCAAGUGGAACUCCAUGUGUAGCGGUGAAAUGCGUAGAUAUGUGGAAGAACACCAGUGGCGAAAGCGGCUUGCUAGAUCGUAACUGACGUUGAGGCUCGAAAGUAUGGGUAGCAAACGGGAUUAGAUACCCCGGUAGUCCAUACCGUAAACGAUGGGUGCUAGUUGUUAAGAGGUUUCCGCCUCCUAGUGACGUAGCAAACGCAUUAAGCACCCCGCCUGAGGAGUACGGCCGCAAGGCUAAAACUUAAAGGAAUUGACGGGGACCCGCACAAGCGGUGGAGCAUGUGGUUUAAUUCGAAGAUACGCGAAAAACCUUACCAGGUUUUGACAUACCAAUGAUCGCUUUUGUAAUGAAAGCUUUUCUUCGGAACAUUGGAUACAGGUGGUGCAUGGUCGUCGUCAGCUCGUGUCGUGAGAUGUUGGGUUAAGUCCCGCAACGAGCGCAACCCUUGUUAUUAGUUGCCAGCAUUUAGUUGGGCACUCUAAUGAGACUGCCGGUGAUAAACCGGAGGAAGGUGGGGACGACGUCAGAUCAUCAUGCCCCUUAUGACCUGGGCAACACACGUGCUACAAUGGGAAGUACAACGAGUCGCAAACCGGCGACGGUAAGCUAAUCUCUUAAAACUUCUCUCAGUUCGGACU